rnacentral:rRNA from 1 species
ACGGAGGGUGCGAGCGUUGUUCGGAAUUAUUGGGCGUAAAGCGCGUGUAGGCGGUUUGGUAAGUCUGAUGUGAAAGCCCCGGGCUCAACCCGGGAAGUGCAUUGGAAACUGUCAGACUUGAAUACGGGAGAGGGUAGUGGAAUUCCUAGUGUGGGAGUGAAAUCCGUAGAUAUUGGGAGGAAGACGGGUGGCGAUGGCGGCUACCUGGGCCGAUAUUGACGCUGAGACGCGAAUGCGUGGGGAGCAAAAAG